rnacentral:rRNA from 1 species
GACGAACGCUGGUGGCGUGCUUAACACAUGCAAGUCGAACGGAAAGGCCCUGCUUUUGUGGGGUGCUCGAGUGGCGAACGGGUGAGUAACACGUGAGUAACCUGCCCUUGACUUUGGGAUAACUUCAGGAAACUGGGGCUAAUACCGGAUAGGAGCUCCUGCUGCAUGGUGGGGGUUGGAAAGUUUCGGCGGUUGGGGAUUGACUCGCGGCUUAUCAGCUUGUUGGUGGGGUAGUGGCUUACCAAGGCUUUGACGGGUAGCCGGCCUGAGAGGGUGACCGGCCACCUUGGGACUGCGAUACGGCCCAGACUCCUACGGGCGGCAGCAGUGGGGAAUAUUGCACAAUGGGCGGACGCCUGAUGCAGCAGCGCCGCGUGCGGGAUGACGGCCUUCGGGUUGUAAACCGCUUUCGCCUGUGACGAAGCGUGAGUGACGGUAAUGGGUAAAGAAGCACCGGCUAACUACGUG